GGUGACCGCUCCGCGCUCUCUCGGCGCUGCUGCGACGCGGUCGCUCCGCUCUCUCUCCUGCGAGGCGCGAGACGAGAGCCUCGCCACGCUUCUCCGGAGGUGCCGGGCUACCACCACCGCACCACCACCGCGAAUCACAUAAACUCGGUGCCGGGGACUAAGCUCUGGCAGUCGCGAGCGGCCAACUCAUCGAGCGGGUGCUUCAGCGUGGGUGCUUGCGACGGUGCAGCGCGCGCAAAGGCGCAUUACACACACGCACACACACACACCUACACACACGCGCACAUAUACAUAAUACAUAUAUACACACACGUACACGGCCGCCACGUAUAGACACGAGGGUGUCCGCGCGCGCGCAGCCACGCGCGCGUACGCACUGCUCGCGCGUGCGACGCGUCGCAUCCCGCAGCGGGCGAAGCGACGGAGGAGCUUUAGGGACGCGAGAGAGCCGUGUACUCGUGCGAAGUAGCGUCAGUCGGGCUCGUGGGCAGAUGGUGGUGCGCGCAAGCUUGCGGAGAAUAAUCGAGACGGACGGCUGAGGGGGAAGAUCGACGUGCGAGCUCGGAGUGACGGAGCUUGCGGAGACGCGCUACUCUUCCUCGGGGUGAUCGCGGAGGCUUUCGAUCACCCGGAGCGUUCCCCCGGAGCCUCCGGGAUCGGCGAGUCGACUCGUCGCGAGGAAUGUACGUGUAGAGUCUGACAGAUUGGAUGCGUCGCGGGAGAAGCACGCGCGUCGCUUGCGUAAGAGAGCUUGGGUGGUCGCGCUCCGGCGAUCGGCAGGGGAGCCACGAGGAGGAAGUCUGGGACCACACGAAGAUAGACGCCGCGCUGUCAAAGUGCCCGAUGAACGAAUCUCGCUCGACGUUUGGCUACGAGCGAGUGACAAUCGCCUCUCUUUCUGUUCGGACGCGAAGCACGGCGAAACUUUAAGAAAGCACGCCGGGAAGCUGCGGACGCUCCUCUUUCGUUGACUGUUUGGUGUCUGCUCGUAAGCAUUUUCUCCUCUAUUCUAAAAGCGGCUUCGGCGAGGCUUUAUUUCCGAAUUUCGGCUCCGCGUGAGCGAGUUUACGAUUGUCCGCCCGGGUAAUAUACAAAAAGCUUCGUAGAAAGAAAUUCUCCUCGUCUUCAGCCAGCUGGCAUUCACGAGUGGAGAAACUUCAGCACUUUGAAGAAGAAAAAGCUGACGUCUCGAUACAUAGUGUCUUAAAUAAUAUUUUGUAAAUAGCUCUCUCUCUCUAUAUAUAUAUACAUAUAUGUAUAUAUACAUGAGCAUUACCUGAAGAGAAAUUUUCGAGAAAAAGCUAUAGUCUUUUCGCAAUUCUGAAUUUAUUGUCGCGUUGUAAUCGCCUUCAGCCUUCGAAACGAGCCUUCUCGUCGCGAAUAAAAGGAAAGCUUUUGUUACUUGUUAUCGCUAAAAAAACUUUCCCGACUCGAUAGGAGCGCGUAUCGAGUCCAGUCAAUGAAUAUGAUGUCGUCGAUAAUCGCCUUUUCGAGAAGUGCACUCGAGAAACUUACGUAGGGAUCGGACGAAGAGCUCGCAAGCUCGAGAAUGUAGUGUUCUAGUAGGUGCUUGCUGGCGGAGACUCAAGCUCAGACUGUCACGGUGGCCAAGCGAGCCGAAACAGGUGGAAGAUUUCCGGCGCGAUAUCCUGAAGAGCAUCACGAAGAGCUAUCGUGCGACUAUCGAUGAUGGUGGAAGGCACGUUGCCAGAACGCGAUUGGUUUGUCCGGCGCGCGUCUCCGCUCGGCUCGUGCUUUGCUACUACAUCAUUUCGUUAAGUUUCAUUUCUUUUUUUUUCUCGAGAACCAAGUAAGAAGGGAGAGAAAUUCCUCGAGGAAUGCCAGGCGCGAAAUGACGAAUUUCGGGCUGAUGCCCGAUCUUAGGCCGCCAACGCCUAAGCCGUCGUCGCAGAGAGGCAAAUAUCACUUCGCCAAUUAUUAAUGCGUCUCUCCGGGGUGUCAUUGCAACGCGCGAAAUUUAUAUGACGAAUACGGCAAAGUGGGGCAAGUCUCAGUUUCGAUAUUCUUGAGGAGCAAGAACGAUAAGAAAUUUUGGAAAAAAACUGGAAAUUUGUUCCCGGAAGGGGAAAAGCUUCGUUGAAACGAUUAAAUAUAACUAUCACGAGUAGAUAAAUAAAUAGAUACGUAGAUAAAUAAGAACAAAUAGGUGGAAAUAGAGCGGCUGCCGAUUGCGCGGGAGACGUGUAGCAAGUAGAGUUCUCAAAUAUAAGACAGUUAAGAUCGGAUUAGAAAAACGUUUUAAAAGCUGAGAAGAACUUGAAUUAAAAAUAGAGAUUAGCGGCGUGAAAACGUUCUUUGAGAGAUGUAGACUAAUAGUUAUACUAGUAAUCGCGCGGUGAACUUGAAGAAGCAUGAAUCAAACGAACGUCAGUUCAAGCUGACCUAAGAAGAGCCGAGGCAAGAAGUGACGUGUUCCACGCCACAAAUUGCAUAGAGAAGGUCUUUAAUUUUAUUGCAUCUGAACUUAGAGAAGGAAAUCUUUGGAGAGCUGCCAGUCGCGGAUGCAAAAAAAAAAUCGUUUUAAGUUCGUUGCAGAAAAGAUAUCUAGAGAACAUCGCCACGACGUAUUAACGAACAUUUCAACGGUGUUAUAAAUUUCAAUUCGUAAAUGCCGAGCCGGCGAAAAAACAUAUAUUUUCAAGAAUCUCCUUCGUCGAAAACAUUACUCGCGAUAGGAAGCUCGAUGCGGGUCGAAUCGUGGAUAUUAGACUUGUCGUAGCUCUAGAUCGCCAGUCUCUGAAGAGAGAGAGCAACGAUCCUGUCACAUCGACUCGACGAAGGUCGAGAGUAGAGCGUGCCACCGACACUUGGAGUAAAAUCGACACUGGCUCUUCCGCUACCCUGAAGAAAGAUUCCACCAUCAAGCAUGGCCUCGGUGGCAGCGUGGUUGCCAUUCGCCCGAGCGGCGGCGAUCGGCUGGGUGCCGAUUGCCACACAUCCACUGCCACCGCCGCCGAUCCCCAAGGAUCGACGAAAGGCCGACGACGAGAAACUGCUGAUCAACGUGAGCGGCCGUCGCUUCGAAACGUGGCGUAACACCCUAGAGAAGUAUCCGGAUACGCUGCUCGGCUCGAACGAGCGGGAGUUCUUCUACGACGAAGAUAGCAAGGAGUACUUCUUCGACCGAGAUCCGGACAUUUUCCGGCACAUUCUCAAUUAUUACCGGACCGGCAAAUUGCACUACCCGAAGCACGAAUGUCUGACGAGCUACGACGAGGAGCUGGCGUUCUUCGGCAUCCUGCCGGACGUGAUCGGUGACUGUUGCUACGAGGACUAUCGGGAUCGCAAGCGCGAGAACGCCGAGCGGCUGAUGGACGACAAGCUGAGCGAGAACGGCGAUCACACCCUCCAGCAGCUGCUUGACAUCCGGGAGAAGAUGUGGCGGGCAUUCCAGAAUCCGCACAUCUCCACCGCCGCGUUAGUCUUCUACUAUGUUACCGGGUUCUUCAUCGCUGUGAGCGUAUUGGCGAACGUGGUGGAGACCGUGCCGUGCGGGAAUCGUCCGGGUCGCGCCGGCACCCUCUCGUGCGGCGAACGCUACAAAAUCGUGUUCUUCUGCCUCGAUACCGCGUGCGUGAUGAUCUUCACGGCCGAGUACCUGCUCAGGCUGUUCGCCGCACCCAGCCGGUGCAAGUUCGCGCGCUCCGUGAUGUCGAUCAUCGACGUGGUCGCGAUAUUGCCCUAUUACAUCGGGCUCGGAAUCACCGACAACGACGACGUAUCGGGGGCGUUCGUGACGUUACGCGUGUUCCGCGUGUUCCGUAUCUUCAAGUUCUCGCGCCAUUCACAGGGACUACGGAUUCUGGGCUACACCCUAAAGUCCUGCGCAUCCGAGCUGGGUUUCCUCGUGUUCUCGCUUGCGAUGGCCAUCAUCAUCUUCGCCACCGUCAUGUUCUACGCGGAGAAGAACGUCGACGGCACUAACUUCACCUCGAUACCAUCCGCCUUCUGGUACACCAUCGUUACGAUGACUACGCUGGGCUACGGUGACAUGGUUCCGAAAACGAUUGCGGGAAAAAUCGUCGGGGGUGUAUGCUCCUUGAGCGGUGUCCUAGUGAUCGCUUUACCGGUUCCUGUUAUCGUCAGUAAUUUCAGCAGAAUAUAUCAUCAAAAUCAACGUGCUGACAAACGGAAGGCGCAGAGGAAAGCCAGAUUGGCACGCAUUAGAAUUGCGAAGGCGUCGAGCGGCGCCGCCUUCGUGAGCAAAAAGAAGGCAGCGGAGGCGCGUUUGGCCGCUCAGGAGAGCGGGCUGCAGCUGGAGGAGUUCUACAAAGAGGAGGAUAUCUUUGAGCUGCAGCAUCAUCACCUACUUCGUUGCUUAGAGAAGACCACGGACCGUGAAUUCGUGGAGAUGGAGGUGCCGUACAACGGUGCCCCGAAGAGGCCAGGCUCGCCGUCGCCCCUGACCUCCCCCGCGCACAGCACUGCCUCCAGGGGCGGCCUGCUGCAGUCCUGCUGCGGGCGCUGCUACCCCCAACGUUACCAGCCGAAGGAACAGCGGGAGCCUGUAGUGGAGCACCCACUUCAGAUCAGCCAGGACCUAAAGAAGCGCGAUUCGCACAUCUGCGACAUGCAGGCCCUACAGCCACUUCCGGCCCCCACCAACACCGCCAACACCGCGCCCGUCAUGACUACUUCCGGUGGACAACCACCGCUCCCGGUAUCGGAGACCGUUUGAAUCGCGACGAUCACGAGAACCGAUCACGAUCGUCUGUGUGUGAUAAUGCGUUAAUCAUGCAUUAUCACAUCACCACUCACCUAUAAAUUCACCGCCGUCCUCCUCCACACCUGUCUGCUUGCUGAACCCGAUGAACGAACCACGGUCGACUAUGGUCGAAGCAACGUAAUAAAAAUAAAUUGUUCGCAUCGAUGCCACGCGAAAUGGAUCAUCAUCAGGUUCAACAGCAUUCUAUUCGCGAUUGAUUCGCUUCUCAGAGGAUGUGGUGAUCGUUCGUUAUUUGACCUGAUUCACGGAGAAUCUUCAAGGAAGAUCCAGAUUAUCAUGGAUGUUCUUUCUCGAUCUACUCCGGCACGAAUCGAUCGUUAUCGAAGCGUGAGGAUCGACGCGCGGUUUAUCCUCUGUGAUAAUAAUCCUAUCAGGAUUUGCGUCGUUUCGCAGACUUUCGUUUAACAGAAAAAAAAAUAUAUCUCAUGUUAACAGACGCGUCCUCGUUGCAGCCGCAUAUCGGAUGGAUUUUUGUAGGGAGAGGAAAAUGUCGAGUUUUUCCUGCGGAAAGUCGUGCCGAUUUAUUGAAUUAAUCGAUUAAUUCACGCCAGCAGCGAGAGACGGGUUCGCGAAAUGGGUAACCCAGGUGUGGCUGAACGAUUGCGAUUAGGGUCGCGAAUUAUACGGGAUUUGUUCGUGUGGGAUCGUGUUCUCGAGGAUUUCGCACUACUACUUCGCGUCAGGCCGUUCCAUAAAUAAUGUUCUUUCUUAAAUGAGAUUCUUAAAAGAAAAGAAGAGACGUAUACCGUUUAUUGGAAUUAAAAAUAGUCAAAGAGGAUUUAUUAAUUAGUUAAGAUUAGAAAUUUAUUUACGCUAUAAUGAUGAUGUUACUUCACGUAAACUUCACGAUUUUUAAUGUUCAUUGUAACAGUUAUAUAUACGUAAAUAAUUGCUGCUAAGUUGAAGCUCGUACUUAGCUCUACAUACAAUCGUUUGACUCUUUUAUUGUCUUUAUAUUAAAAGAUUUAUCAUAUGGUAUAUUUUUGGAUAAUUACAAGGCAGAUACAAUCAACGAUCGACAGAAGAGAACUGUGAAUCUAGAUGUUUAUUUAAGAAUUAUAUAAUUUGAAAUUAUUUCCAGAGAAUAAAGCACUUUAUCUUUGGGAAUAUUAUAAUUUUACGAUCGAAGGAUUUUUUAGAGAAUAAAACUCAAAUACCAAUCUCAGCACUAUAUAUUUAUUAUAUAUAUGAUUUCUAAUUGUAUGAAUUACAUGCAGGGCACACAAUUCUGAUACUCUGUAGGUAGGAAUGUUAUACAUAUGAGUAUUAAUCGUUAACAUUAAG